CCGGGCCUCGGGGACCGCGCAGGGCGAGGCCCGGGCUGUCCUCCCGUGCCACGUCGCUAGAGCCGAGCGACAUGAAGGCGACGCCGAACGCCAUCCCCAGGUCCUGUCGAAGCUCCGGGCUCUGAACAGGUCCCAGCGCCCCGGUCCCAGAAGCCGCAGACCUUUUCCCGGAUUUGUCAUUCAUCUGCAGUGGUGGAAAGUUCUGGAUCUUAAUCAGUGGUGACCAUGCUUCAGCCUCUGGCCAAGCCAGGACCUUCAGCCUCUGGAAGACCUGGACUCUAAGCACCUGAUUUUAUGAGAAGUUAUCUAGAAGGUGUGGAAAAACUCCCCUCAGGUCUUUUGGAAGCUGCUCUCAGCUGUUCUCCUAGCUUACCUCUAUUUCUCUCUGCCACCCACCAACCUAAGAAGCACUCCCUAGGCAACCCACAGCCACACUUUCCUAUGAUCCAGAGAGGGUAACAGACGCCAAGGGAUGAAACUCUCACUCAACAAAGACCAGACCAGACCAGAAAUCAGCAUCUACAGGCACCUCAAUCACGUUAAGCCCCAAUGCCUACACACCAGUGCAAAAACCACAAUGAUUACUACUCUAGGCAAUAUGCCUCCACCUGAACCCAGGAACCCUACCCUACUAUAGUAAGCCAUAAGAAAGGCAACAUAGC
ensembl:antisense Gm42902 predicted gene 42902